rnacentral:rRNA from 1 species
UACGGAGGGUGCAAGCGUUAUCCGGAUUCACUGGGUUUAAAGGGUGCGUAGGAGGGCAGGUAAGUCAGUGGUGAAAUCCCCAAGCUUAACUUGGAAACUGCCGCUGAUACUAUCUGUCUUGAAUAUUGUGGAGGUGAGCGGAAUAUGUCAUGUAGCGGUGAAAUGCUUAGAUAUGACAUAGAACACCAAUUGCGAAGGCAGCUCACUACUCAAUCAUUGACUCUGAGGCACGAAAGCGUGGGGAUCAAACAGG